AGCUUUGCGCAGUGGCAGUAUCGUAGCCAAUGAGGUUUAUCUGAGGCGUGAUUAUUGCUAAUUGAAAAACAGAAUUAGAACAGUCCUGACAGAAGUUAGGUCUUUGUUUUGUUUUCCUUUUUCAAUGUAAA
ensembl:snRNA U4 U4 spliceosomal RNA